UUGUCCCUACUAGGGCUUGAGAGACCAAAACCUAUUUUCAGAUUCAAUAGAAGCUAGCUCUAUGUCGAUGGUAUCCAAGAAGUUGUCAUGAGAGCGUGGAAUGAAUCGAGAUCUAGUGAGGAUGAUGCGGCUAACCUUGUCCUCAAACUUAGAGCCACCAGAUCCCAUCUUAAGAACCGGGCUUCGGAGAUUAGAACUUCAGAGAGGACUGAAAAGAUGAAGUUGCUCAACAUUUUAUCGGACAUUGAUCCUAAAGAGGAUGUGGACAGAAUCUCUACUUAAGAUUGGGAUCUCAGAGAA
rnacentral:lncRNA from 1 species